rnacentral:rRNA from 1 species
CACAAGCGGUGGAGCAUGUGGUUUAAUUCGAUGCAACGCGAAAAACCUUACCUACCCUUGACAUGUCCGGAAUCCUGAAGAGAUUUGGGAGUGCUCGCAAGAGAACCGGAACACAGGUGCUGCAUGGCUGUCGUCAGCUCGUGUCGUGAGAUGUUGGGUUAAGUCCCGCAACGAGCGCAACCCUUGUCAUUAGUUGCCACCAUUCAGUUGGGCACUCUAAUGAGACUGCCGGUGACAAACCGGAGGAAGGUGGGGAUGACGUCAAGUCCUCAUGGCCCUUAUGGGUAGGGCUUCACACGUCAUACAAUGGUCGGUACAGAGGGUCGCCAACCCGCGAGGGGGAGCCAAUCCCACAAAGCCGAUCGUAGUCCGGAUUGGAGUCUGCAACUCGACUCCAUGAAGUCGGAAUCGCUAGUAAUCGUGGAUCAGCAUGUCACGGUGAAUACGUUCCCGGGUCUU